rnacentral:rRNA from 1 species
GACGAACGCUGGCGGCGUGCCUAAUACAUGCAAGUCGAACGCUUCUUUCCUCCCGAGUGCUUGCACUCAAUUGGAAAGAGGAGUGGCGGACGGGUGAGUAACACGUGGGUAACCUACCCAUCAGAGGGGGAUAACACUUGGAAACAGGUGCUAAUACCGCAUAACAGUUUAUGCCGCAUGGCAUAAGAGUGAAAGGCGCUUUCGGGUGUCGUUGAUGGAUGGACCCGCGGUGCAUUAGCUAGUUGGUGAGGUAACGGCUCACCAAGGCCACGAUGCAUAGCCGACCUGAGAGGGUGAUCGGCCACACUGGGACUGAGACACGGCCCAGACUCCUACGGGAGGCAGCAGUAGGGAAUCUUCGGCAAUGGACGAAAGUCUGACCGAGCAACGCCGCGUGAGUGAAGAAGGUUUUCGGAUCGUAAAACUCUGUUGUUAGAGAAGAACAAGGACGUUAGUAACUGAACGUCCCCUGACGGUAUCUAACCAGAAAGCCACGGCUAACUACGAG